UUUGCCACUAUAAAAAUCUCUCCAAAAAAAUCUCAUAAAAAUUGUAAAAUUUAAAAAAACAGGUGUACAUAUUUUUUAUAUAAAACAAAAAUUAUUUCAAUUAUUACAAUGUUUUGAUUUUAAUCAUUCAUUUAAAACAAAUAGGCAAUUAGUUCUGUAGUGUAUUUAAAUGGGAAAUCUCAAGUUUCAUUCUUGAAAAAAAAAAAACUUAACAACAUUCAACAUUUCUGGACAUUAAAACAUGUUUGAUUACAUUUCAAGUUUAUACAUUAGAAUCAAAGUUGACAAUUAAAGCUACAAAAUUAGAACUGAAAAAAAUUAAACAGCUGGAAUUUCUUAAUUGUUAUUCAUUCUAUAUAGUAGAGAUCCAAAAUAAACCAAAAGUGAUAUUGAGACUUGUGGUUAUAGAAGUUCUCUGUGUAAAGACUCGGAUACAGGCCACAAAAUGGUUUACAACUUUAAGUACAUUCGAUCAGUAAUACUAUAAGGAUCUUUACAUUUCAUCAAAGCUCUAUUCAGACCCAAAACAGUAUAACCAGCCCAACAAUGUCCAGUGCGAUUCUGGGUUUUAAUUUGUUCUUUAGUUCUUGAUCAUUUCCCCGAAAGUUGUUUUCAAUAUAGAAUGAGAAAACGAUUGUUGUUUUCUUGGGGGGGGGGGGGG